AAUCCAAGGCAGUACUCAAGGUGUGAUGUAAUAAGGGGGCUGGAGCUGGCAAUGGAAAUGGUAAGAUUAGAAAGCUAUAAGUUAUUGCAAAAGAAGAACUAGGAUUUGGCUUCCUGAUUUUGUCAAAAUAUUUCACUCUUUUGUUAAAAUAUGUUAAGUGAAAACACAGUGGAUAACACCAAGAUAUUUUUCUUGUCUCUUCAAGAUACGCCAUUUCAGUUGCUCGAAAGAUCGGUGCCCGGAUAUAUGCAUUACCUGAUGACCUCGUAGAAGUGAAACCAAAGAUGGUUAUGACGGUGUUUGCAUGCUUAAUGGGAAAAGGACUGAACAGAAUAAAAUAAUCAUUUCAUAUGAUUUUCUGCCACAUUAAACAUAUUGUAUGCCUCACAGUUUACAGGAUUCUGAAAUGUAGUGGGUGUAAAACCAGAGAUUAUUUGUAUGCUCAAAAUAGUUAUAUAUUCAUUAAUGAAUUCAAUAUCCUGUUCAUACUAGUUAGAGCUGGUCAGCCUUUUUGGGUAACACAGGUAAUUUACCAACUGAUACAGAUAAUAGAAUAUAUUCAUAAUCAACCUGAUACUUCAUGAUUAAAUGAUUUUUGUUGCUUAAAAGUCAUAUUAGACAAGACUAAAUCAUUCUUUGUUAUGGUUCAAAAAAGAUGAAUACAAACGUUUUUGCAGGUUCUGCUGUGAAAUGUGGUUUGAUUUUUUUGGUGUGUUAAUUUUGAUCAUAAAUGCAUUCAUACUCAUAAUCCAGUUUAAUCCUUUUAUUUGCUUCCUCCAACUAUUUAAAGUGGUCCAAAAACACUUUUCUGUAAGUUUCUAUACUGUCUAAAACCUUAUGGUGACCAGAAUUGUUUAUUAAUAUCAAACUUUUUUAUAUAUGAGAACUAAUUCUUGAAUAAACCCCAAAGUUCACUCUCUUAUUUAAGUAGCAGCAGCUUUUUACUUAAAAUUUAAUUUUAACUACAUUGAUACUUUACAUAUCCUAGUUUGGUAACACAGCUUUAACUAUGUCAUGCAACAUAUAUAUGUUGGUAGGAUGUUAUUAGAGAGAUAUGUGUGCAUAUAUAUUUUUUUGCACCUGAAUCACCCAGCUUUUCAUAAGUGGUAUGUUUAAUUGGUCAUUCAGCCAACCAUCAGUAUUUUUCCCCCACAACAUGUGUAACACUUUUCAGUCUGUGGAUAUCUGAUACGUUAAGAUUUCUUUUUGUAAGUAUUCAUUUUGAAUGUGCAUAUAGUUAUUUGACCCCUUCCAA
rnacentral:lncRNA from 1 species